rnacentral:sRNA from 1 species
GGACGUGAGGGUGAUUGGGCUGCGACAUCUGCCACCCCACUGAUCGCCAGCGUUGACUGGACUGAUCUGGCGGGCUAGGUGGGGGUCCCUUUCUUCUCUCGCUGCUCCAUGUGUGUUCCUCCAGAAGCUGGGUGCCAGUGAAGAGGACGACCUGCCCUGAUAGAGCAGGACGAGUCCUGUGGUCAAGAUUGUACGAGCAGCUCUGCGUCCCUGCUAGAACCUCCGAAUGGGCUCUCAAGACCACGGUCCUAUCUUGACCUAUUCCAUCAUCCUUGGGCAGUCUAUUGGA